GCAUAUGAGGAAAAAUUGAUAGGCACGUCGCUUGGUCAUUCAUUCACGCAAUGCGAGAUGCGAGAAAUAGAGAAAUCACUGAGGCAGAAGAUACGGGGCGUCUCACCGUUUCUUCAAAUACGAUCGAAACUGAAGAAACCAAAGGCUCAGAAAUCGAACAGAAGCAACAAUUCUUAAGAAGCGUACAAAAAAGGAAAGAGGUGUUAAUUGCCUCAAUUAAUCGACAGCUCACGUGACAACGUGGAUUUCUUCGACAGGGGAUUUUUUUCCAGGCGCCCGGAGCGUCACACGCGCAUCGGGGAAAAUUACUCUGGAUUCGUUUCACGGUUCAACGCCGCGGAUGAAUAAUACAUUCGGAGUCUGAGGAACGCUCAUCCAAUUCCACUGCAACGACGAUUGAUUCCUUACCAAGAAUCGGAGGCAGGAAAUUUUGUCCAAGGAUAACCAUCUCAGUUUUUAUUUGUCCAUCGGUUAAUUGAUACAACGGGACAACUGUUAUAUUUUUUUAUUUGUGUUUUUUUUUUAAAUAUUUCAGUUUUCCUUAAUCCGCUUCAAAUUAUUCGAGCCAUUCCGGGGAGAUUAUAGUUCUUUAUUUGUGGUUCCUUUAGAAUGUUUCAAUUUUUCAUUAGGUAUUUGCUUCGUAUUAUUCAAGCAAUCUCGAUACCGAGGAGGGGCAGCGUGUAUUUUUGUUGUUGCAAGAAGGAUCGAUGAACAAAUUCCAGGCGAUCCGUGGCGGAGUCUCGGUCACAGAUUAACCAAGUUACGCAGAAUUCUACGGGAAAGCGCAUCACCGCAGGCUUCGCUCUCAAGGUUCUGAGGAAGCCUGUUUGCGCACGAGUUCUGACGAUCUCGUCGCAGAUGAAAGAUAACCGGCGGCCAAUCCGAGGCAUCGCAGCGCGUUUCAUCGAGAUUCGCCAACUUCCGAUAACGCGGCUUUGAUCAUCCAGGCCGUACCGAGGAAUUUAACAACGUCACAUCAUUCUUCCACCGACGCCAAUUGUUUUCAUAAUUGCAUUUAAAAAAUGAAUUAUAGAUUGA